GAUGAACGCUGGCGGCGUGCUUAACACAUGCAAGUCGAACGAUGAAGCCCAGCUUGCUGGGUGGAUUAGUGGCGAACGGGUGAGUAACACGUGAGUAACCUGCCCUUGACUCUGGGAUAAGCCUGGGAAACUGGGUCUAAUACUGGAUAUGACUUCUCAUCGCAUGGUGGGGGGUGGAAAGAUUUAUUGGUCUUGGAUGGACUCGCGGCCUAUCAGCUUGUUGGUGAGGUAAUGGCUCACCAAGGCGACGACGGGUAGCCGGCCUGAGAGGGUGACCGGCCACACUGGGACUGAGACACGGCCCAGACUCCUACGGGAGGCAGCAGUGAGGAAUAUUGCACAAUGGGCGCAGGCCUGAUGCAGCGACGCCGCGUGAGGGGUGACGGCCUUCGGGUUGUAAACCUCUUUCAGUAGGGAAGAAGCGAGAGUGACGGUACCUGCAGAAGAAGCGCCGGCUAACUACGUG
rnacentral:rRNA from 1 species